UUCAAGAUCGUUUACCAUUCUUUUAGACGCAGUUUGGCGGAGACAAAAGACGGUGGUAGGUAGCGGUUAGAGUUUCUGACUAGGAAUCUUACAGGUGAAGGGUUGGAAUCCACUCAGCCAGGAAAUUUAUUGGAUGACCUUCGACGCCACUCACUGUUUCUCUUAGCUUUACCUACCUCACAAGGUUGCUGUGAGGAUAACAAUGAAGAGUGGGUAGAGCCAUUUGGAGCUCCUUGGAGAAAAAAGAAUUGGCCAGGUUUGACAGACCUGUAUGGUGAUUCAGGAGCAGGAAUACUUCAGCACCCACUUACAGCCAAAUGGCAAUGGCACUCACCUGAGAGGUAUCGGAGCUGAGCUCCAGUGAACACUCUCUGGGAAAAAAAGCCCUGUGUUCCAGUCAUGGCAAAGAGUGUUCUGUUUUCUGUAUGCUGUAGUGUUGUUAAGUUUUAGUCUUGUUAUAAGUUUUUGUAAGUUUUAUUGUAAGUACUGCAACUGGAUUUUUUAUGGACUGUGCCAAUCCUGAAUGUACUGGAUUAGUGACCAUUAUGUUCAUUUGCCUUCAGUAGCAAGUAAAAGCUCUGCUGGAUGAAGUACAAUUGCCUCUGGUCUAUUUUUGGGAACUCUGCCACGUGUUUGCGUUUUUUCCUCCCCAGACGAAGCUGGGGUGACACCCAGGUCCUUCUGCAUGGAAGGCAAGAGCUAUGGCCCUUCAAUACAAAGAUGCUCUGGUCACUUUUGCCUCUGGCCACACCCACUUUUGUGUGACUGACUGCAGAGAAACCACAAAGAACUGAGAAUUCCUUUAAGAUUAUUUUUUUUAAAAAAAAAAUAUUAUUCAAGCUAUAAUGGCAACUUGUUUUUUCUCUCCUUUUUUGCAUUUUACAUAUCGUGCAAUUUUUCCAAUUGUGAUUCUGUUAACUGUCUUGCAGUGUCACGAAAGACGGCAUAUAAAUUUGCCAAUUAAAAAUAAAUAGAUUAAAAUAAAAUUGAACACA